rnacentral:lncRNA from 1 species
GCUCAAGGACUGGCAUACCUGCACCAAGACUGUACACCUCAAGUUAUCCACCGAGAUGUGAAAUCGUGCAACAUACUUCUAAAUGCAAAUAUGGAUGCGCACCUUUGCGACUUUGGCCUUGCGAAAAACAUUCAACCUACCAGGACUCAUACCUCUACGUUUGUGCUGGGGACAAUAGGAUACAUCGAUCCAGAGUACGCUCAAACUUCUCGCCUAAAUGAGAAGUCUGACGUCUACAGCUUCGGUAUUGUGCUGCUGGAGCUUCUCAUGGGAAAAAAGGCUGUUGAUGAUGAAGUGAAUUUACUCGAUUGGGUACGUCUUUUAUCAGAGUUGAAGCUUAAAUCUUACAUGCUCGGCUUUGAUCGUCAUUCUGGGAAAAAAAAACAAAAACGCCUUCAAGAAGGCCAACUAGUAAUGAUUUGAUCAUACUUCUUUGUUGGAAUUCCCAAGUCCUCUUAGAAGCUCCUCACGUUUCUGUUCCACAUGACUAAUGUCGUUGUCUCUCAGGUAAGGUCCAAAAUUGAACAGAAGAACUUGCUGGAAUUCGUGGACCCAUAUGUGCGAUCAACUUGCCCAAGCAUGGAUCACCUUGAGAAAGCGCUGAAGCUAGCGUUGUUGUGUGCGAAGCAAACACCUUCACAACGACCUACCAUGUACGAUGUGGCUCAAGUGCUGAGCUCGCUGCUACCAGUGGUGUCACCUCGCAAACCUCCCAGUUAUCCUUCUCCAGGUUCCAAGCACCGGCGUUACGUCGACACAUAUAGCGCCAAGCCAGCCGAGGGCAUGAUUGCCAGU